UACAGAGGGGGCAAGCGUUAUUCGGAAUUAUUGGGCGUAAAGGGCGCGUAGGCGGCCUGGCAAGUGGAAGGUGAAAUCCCUCGGCUUAACCGAGGAACUGCCUUCCAGACUGCUUGGCUUGAGACCGGGAGAGGUGAGUGGAAUUCCCAGUGUAGCGGUGAAAUGCGUAGAUAUUGGGAGGAACACCAGUGGCGAAGGCGGCUCACUGGACCGGUACUGACGCUGAGGCGCGAAAGCGUGGGGAGCAAACGGG
rnacentral:rRNA from 1 species